AUGCGGCGCGCGCCUUCCUUCGAAGGAGGGGGUGCGCCAAUUCCACCGAUGGCCCCUGUCCAACCAGGGACACCGGAUAACCUGAUGGAAGCGCUACGAGGCGCCUCCAUUAUGGACGAGCACCGUGUCCUUAUGGGGACAGUGAUGGAGAAGGUUCAGUCCGCCAAGAGCGGACUAAAUGAGGCCUGCAACAACCUGUUGACAGGUUUUGAGGCGUCGCUGUUGGCCGCGACCUCACAUGCUGCCGAAGUCUCUGAACUGAAGCAGAGGCUGGAGCGGACCGAGAACGAGCUCCGCGAGGUGAAGAUUCAACUCCACGAGAAGCAAGGGGCGGCGACCGAGGUUGAGGCCCUAAAAAAUGCCCUGAUCGAAGCUGAGGGGAAGGCUGUCCAGCAGCAAGCCGCCCGUAAGAAGCUCAAGGCCCGGGUCGACGAGAUCCGGCAGGAGCUCCAGGACGCAGUGAAGAAUAGUGAGGCUUUGGAGCGCGAAGCGUCGGUUUGA
rnacentral:rRNA from 1 species